UACGAAGGGGGCUAGCGUUGCUCGGAAUCACUGGGCGUAAAGGGUGCGUAGGCGGGUCUUUAAGUCAGGGGUGAAAUCCUGGAGCUCAACUCCAGAACUGCCUUUGAUACUGAAGAUCUUGAGUUCGGGAGAGGUGAGUGGAACUGCGAGUGUAGAGGUGAAAAUUCGUAGAUAUUCGCAAGAACACCAGUGGCGAAGGCGGCUCACUGGCCCGAUACUGACACUGAGGCACGAAAGCGUGGGGAGCAAACAGG
rnacentral:rRNA from 1 species